rnacentral:rRNA from 1 species
GAUGAACGCUAGCGACAGGCUUAACACAUGCAAGUCGAGGGGCAGCAUGAUUUGUAGCAAUACAGAUUGAUGGCGACCGGCGCACGGGUGAGUAACCGCGUAUGCAACUUACCUAUCAGAGGGGGGAUAGCCCCGGCGAAACGUGGACUAACAUCCCAUAACACUCUAGAGCCGCAUGGUUCUGGAUUUAAAACCCCGGUGGUACGGGACGGGCACGCGCGACAUUAGGUAGUUGGCGGGUAACGGCCACCAAGGCAACGAUCAGUAGGGGUUCUGAGAGGAAGGUCCCCCACAUUGGAACUGAGACACGGUCCAAACUCCUACGGGAGGCAGCAGUGAGGAAUAUUGGUCAAUGGGCGACGAGCCUGAACCAGCCAAGUAGCGUGCAGGAUGACGGCCCUAAUGGGUUGUAAACCUGGCUUUUAUAAGGGAAUAAAGUGAGUCUCGUGAGGCUUUUUGCAUGUACCUUAUGAAUAAGGACCGGCUAAUUCCGUG